rnacentral:rRNA from 1 species
UACGUAGGGGGCAAGCGUUGUCCGGAAUUAUUGGGCGUAAAGCGCGCGCAGGCGGUGGUUUAAGUCUGAUGUGAAAGCCCACGGCUCAACCGUGGAGGGUCAUUGGAAACUGGAUCACUUGAGUGCAGGAGAGGAAAGUGGAAUUCCACGUGUAGCGGUGAAAUGCGUAGAUAUGUGGAGGAACACCAGUGGCGAAGGCGACUUUCUGGCCUGUAACUGACGCUGAGGCGCGAAAGCGUGGGGAGCAAACAGG